UCAAGCACGUUUCGAUCUAAGUGUUCAUCAACACGAUCUUUAUCACUAUCCGAGGAGUACAAAAGUGUUUCAAAGGUUUCAAGCAUCUUACCUCGAUAAGCAGAAGAAUAAGGGUCGAUUUUACCUUUUUCAUUUAAAACAAAUCUUCGCUCAUCGGGGGCAUAGUGUAGUCGAAUCUCCGUUGUUGAGUUAACCUUUGUCAAAUGGAACUCAAACUUCAUGUACAACCACAUAAACUGUUUAAGGCACGAAUAUAAAUUGAAAACAAAUUUGGAAAAUUUCGUUACCUUAUUCUCCAAAACAGAUUUGGACAAAUUCGAGGAUUUUACACAAGGUAAAUCAAGAGAAUAACAAAUCACGCUUCUUUUCGUAAUGACUUUAUCA
rnacentral:lncRNA from 1 species